rnacentral:rRNA from 1 species
AUUGAACGCUGGCGGCAUGCUUUACACAUGCAAGUCGAACGGCAGCGCGGGCUUCGGCCUGGCGGCGAGUGGCGAACGGGCGAGUAAUGCAUCGGAACGUGCCCAGUUGUGGGGGAUAGCGCGGCGAAAGCCGGAUUAAUACCGCAUACGACCUGAGGGUGAAAGCGGGGGACCGAAAGGCCUUGCGCUCUUGGACCGGCCGAUGUCGGAUUAGCUAGUUGGUGGGGUAAAGGCUUACCAAGGCGACGAUCCGUAGCUGGUCUGAGAGGACGACCAGCCACACUGGAACUGAGACACGGUCCAGACUCCUACGGGAGGCAGCAGUGGGGAAUUUUGGACAAUGGGGGCAAGCCUGAUCCAGCCAUGCCGCGUGCGGGAAGAAGGCCUUCGGGUUGUAAAGCGCUUUUGUUCGGGAAGAAAUGCUCUGGGCUAAUACCCCGGGGGGAUGACGGUACCGGAAGAAUAAGCACCGGCUAACUACGUG